GUGGCAUCCUCUUGCCUCAGCCUCCAGAGUGCUGGGGUCACAGAAAGAAAAUACUGGGAACCUCACACAGAUAGAGGUGACCUCAGGUGGCUGUUACCUGAGAGACUUUAUUUGCUGGAAAAAGAAGGAGGCAGGAGAUGCUUACCCUGACCAGGAGCCAUUCUGUCAAACUACCUCUUCCCCGCAUAGGAAAUCCUACUGGCCAUCCACGGUGAUCAUCAAAGAUCAUGGUGAAGCCACCAUGGUUGGAAGUUUCAUCAUAAAAAUUGAGAUUAUGAGGCUAUGCACGUCCUUUGAUGGGAGACUCAUAAGACCAAGGAUGUUUCAUCAUAAAAAUUGGGAUUAUGAGGCUGUGCACGUCCUUUGAUGGGAGACUUAGAUACAAGAUCAAGGAUGAUCUUUGUGUACUCUACAACCCUGUCAGGCUUUCCUCCAAUAAGAACAACUCUGUCAGUGGAAUAGGGACAGCAUUCUUGGAAAAGCUUGAUUGUUGUCUGAGUGUUCUCUUGAAGUUCUUUUAUCUUCGGACCUCUGACCCCAGAAAUUCCUCCUGCCAGACUUUGAUGAAUUAACAGGCUCAGCUUACAGUAAGAGUCACUUCCUUUUUAGUGCUGGUGAUGUAAGCAUUCCACAGCAUCAGAUUGGAGCAGAGCUGACUGGUUGCAGUGGGUGACGGUAACUGCAGGCCCUCUUCCAAGGUAGGGAUGAUUUUCUUCAGAAUCUCUCCAAUUGUUUCAGUAUCAGCACUGAUAUUCAAUAUGUGCUCAGGACCGCUGCUGUCUGAGAGUGAAACACUAGCAUUGUAGUCUGUAUGGAGAGCCUUAAUGUUCUUGCCUCCUUUUCUAGUCACUGCCCCAGCACUCUUGCUCUGAAGCAGAAUUUGUAAUUCAGCCAUCUCAUCGCUGUUUCUAGAUCUUUUAAAUGCUUGCUCCUCUUCCACAUCUUCUGCAGGACAUUUACGAAAUUCGCCACUGGUUUCAGUGUUGGGGAAGGUUUCCUCUGGCUGCUUAGUUUCCAUUUUCUUGUGCUAAAUGGACACAGCAAUCAAGUGGGAUCAGGCGGGACGCCAAGGUCAGUGUAGCAGAGAAGCGGAGGGUAAUGGUGGUCGCACUUCACCCCGAGUGCCCUCCUCCUCUCUUGUUUGCCCACUCAGGAUGAUUUGUCUUUCUGAGAGGGUUUUUG